GAUGAACGCUCGCGGCAGGCCUAACACAUGCAAGUCGAGGGGUAGAAGGAGCUUGCUCCUUUGAGACCGGCGCACGGGUGCGUAACGCGUAUGCAAUCUACCUUGUACAGGGGAAUAGCCCAGAGAAAUUUGGAUUAAUGCCCCAUAGUAUAUAACCUUCGCAUGUUGGUUAUAUUAAAGUUCCAACGGUACAAGAUGAGCAUGCGUCCCAUUAGUUAGUUGGUAAGGUAACGGCUUACCAAGACGAUGAUGGGUAGGGGUCCUGAGAGGGAGAUCCCCCACACUGGUACUGGGACCCGGACCAGACUCCUACGGGAGGCAGCAGUGAGGAAUAUUGGUCAAUGGUCGCAAGACUGAACCAGCCAUGCCGCGUGCAGGAAGACGGUCCUAUGGAUGGUAAACUGCUUUUAGACAAGAAGAAACCCUCCCACGUGUGGGAGCUUGACGGUACUGUAGGAAUAAGGAUCGGCUAACUCCGUG
rnacentral:rRNA from 1 species